GGCUGCUAAAAUACCACUUUGAACAGGCCACGGGAGUAUCAAUUGACGAGCUGCGCAAAUAAUAUGACCUGAAAAGAGCGAAGAUCGUUAACUAUUCAGAAACAGCUGGCCGAAAGUUUAAGAAACCUAACAACGACUGCACCGAUCUGGAAGUCCUGCGGUUCUUAGCUUGCUUGGUGGGCGAGAAAAUAGAUGAUUUGGUUACAUACAGAGAGAUCGGAACCCGCAUCGAUGAAGUUCAUUUGGAUUCGCCCGGACCGUUACUGGUUUCUGUUGAUAUGGGACAAGACACAGCGAUGUAUUAUGUCUACGUCGACCAGGUCCGCCUAUCCGAAGGCACGGAUGAUGUCAUUUGCGCCCUGCAGGAUCUACUGUGCAUACAUUUUGUGCAUAAUUUUAAAUAUUUCAAGCCAGCAUCAAAAUUCCUGGAGUUGAUGCAGCAAUACCUCUUACAGAUAAUUCCAUCAUCCGGAUCCAAAUCAAACGCAUAUCGCGUGGGAAAUCAACAGCGAGUUGUUCAAAAAGUUAUUGACCAUUUGUCGA